rnacentral:rRNA from 1 species
CCCUUAGAUGUCCUGGGCCGCACGCGCGCUACACUGAUGCAUUUAACGAGUUUUACCUUGGCCGAGAGGCCUGGGCAAUCUUUUAAACCUGCAUCGUGAUAGGGAUAGAUUAUUGCAAUUAUUAAUCUUGAACGAGGAAUUCCUAGUAAACGCAAAUCAUCAAUUUGCAUUGAUUACGUCCCUGCCCUUUGUACACACCGCCCGUCGCACCUACCGAUUGAAUGGUCCGGUGAAGCCUCGGGAUUGUGGCCAGUUCACUUUAUUGGGAGUUGGCUGUGAGAACUUGUCUAAACCUUAUCAUUUAGAGGAAGGUGAAGUCGUAACA